rnacentral:lncRNA from 10 species
CUUCUGGCCCCCGGAUCUGGCAGCGGCGGCGCGUCCCCACUGACCAGCGCGCAGGACAGCGCCUUCCUCAACGACGCGGACAUGGUCAUGAGCUUUGUGAACCUGGGAUGUCAGCCUCCAAAGGCGGAAACCACGCUAACCCACCACAGUAGCCCAAGUGCCUAACAUAAUGCUGACCACAUGGAAGAUGCUUUGAAAAGGCUGAAUUAGUGAACAUAUAGACAUAGCCCAUGCUUCAAAUUCAUAUUUCACUGAUUUGGAAGAUUUGAUUAUUUAGAAAGGGUAUACCUGAUUUUUAUUGAGUAAAAUGUUUACAGUGAAGACAUUUAGGACAGGGAGGUUCACAGUAUUUGAGGUAAAUCAUCGUGCUUUAUUAAUACACCUUUUUUAUUAGUCACCCAUAUGUAUAUUAAUUUGUAAUAUGCAUUACAUUUGAGAGUAGUAAAAACAUUUAAUUAAAUAUCUGCAUUUCAGAUUUCACUUGUUUAUUUGAAUUCACGAGGUAUUUAUCUCCAAAUGCUAGGAUUAAAUGGCAAUUUAAAAAACUCAAAUUGUGUUCAGAAAAGGGAAUCAGUAUAUAUUAGUACAAGCAGCAAGAAACUUGUGCUAAAAAUACUGGCAAUUUUCUGAACAAAAUUACUCUUGGGAAACAUAAAUAAGAAGAAAAAU